rnacentral:rRNA from 1 species
UACGUAGGGGGCAAGCGUUGUCCGGAAUCAUUGGGCGUAAAGCGCGUGUAGGCGGCCCGAUAAGUCCGCUGUGAAAGUCCAGGGCUCAACCCUGGAAUGCCGGUGGAUACUGUCGGGCUCGAGUCCGGAAGAGGCGAGUGGAAUUCCUGGUGUAGCGGUGAAAUGCGCAGAUAUCAGGAGGAACACCGAUUGCGAAGGCAGCUCGCUGGGACGCGACUGACGCUGAGACGCGAAAGCGUGGGGAGCAAACAGG